rnacentral:rRNA from 1 species
UACAGAGGGGGCAAGCGUUAUUCGGAAUUAUUGGGCGUAAAGGGCGCGUAGGCGGCUUGGCAAGUGGAUGGUGAAAUCCCUCGGCUUAACCGAGGAACUGCCAUCCAGACUGCUUUGCUUGAGGCCGGGAGAGGUGAGUGGAAUUCCCAGUGUAGCGGUGAAAUGCGUAGAUAUUGGGAGGAACACCAGUGGCGAAGGCGGCUCACUGGACCGGUUCUGACGCUGAGGCGCGAAAGCUAGGGGAGCGAACGGG